UCCCUCCAUCCAAAAGGAAUGUAACUUUCACUUCCCGUGAAGUUAAGCAACUAAAAGUUUGACUAGAUUUAAUGAGAAGCUACAAACAUUUAUGAUGCCAAAUUAAUAUUAUUAGAUCAAGUAUGAAAUAUAUUCUCAUAGCAAUUAAACCAAUCGGAGAUAUAAACAUUGAUACUAUUAUAUCUAUAAGUGAAACUUAAACUAGUCUGACGUUCCAAAUCCUCUGUAUAUUUUUUCAUCCUUGGCAUCACAAAUACGCCGCUUUUGUUUAUAAUAAAUAGUAUGGCCACAUCUUUUUUUUUUGUUUUUUGAAAGGAGAUUACCUCUGCUUUUGAGAAAGCAAUAAAAGUUUUUACAGACUGGUGAUACCAGUUUACCAUAUUGCAAAAAACGAAAGAAGCUAGCUCACACUGCUAGUGCUAAACUCCUUAAACAACACACACUUAUUACAAGAUAACAAUGUCUGAAUUAAAGGUGUGAAGACGGCCACGCUUGCUGAUCCAGGACCCAAGGAUCUCCACCAUCUCAGAUAAGUAUAUCUUGUCGGCAUCCUUCAUAAGCUCUCUCCACAUCUGAAGAAGAUUGAUAGUAUUAUACAGAACCACAUUAGGAUUUGCAGGAAAGAUUUUCUGAAUAGCCAUACUAUUUCUAUUUUUCCAGAUUGCCCAUGAAAGAGCAGCAAAGAAAAUUAACACAAUUCUUUGGGGGACUCCCAGCCUCCUUGGCAGCCAACCAUAUAAGAAAUUCUGUUUUGACGUCGGGAAAUCAUGCCACCCAAAAGCAUCUCUAAUACAACACCAUAAGUAUUGUGAAAAGCAACACUCAAAGAAAAUGUGAUUAACAGUUUCAUGUUCGUUACAG
rnacentral:lncRNA from 1 species